UUUGAUACCAGCUCGCACUCAUUUCCAUUAUUACAUUGUAUAUUCAUGUGAAUAUAUUAUGAAUGCCAGUGUCAGAUGUCAAUUUUAAAUGUGUUUACACCGACAUCCAUAAUAUAUUCACAUGAAUAUACAAUGUAAUAAUGGAAAUGAGUGCGAGCUGGUAUCAAACUAU